UACGUGAGGGUGCGAGCGUUAAUCGGAAUUACUGGGCGUAAAGCGUGCGCAGGCGGUGAUGUAAGACAGGUGUGAAAUCCCCGGGCUUAACCUGGGAACUGCAUUUGUGACUGCAUCGCUGGAGUGCGGCAGAGGGGGGAUGGAAUUCCGCGUGUAGCAGUGAAAUGCGUAGAUAUGCGGAGGAACACCGAUGGCGAAGGCAGCCCCCUGGGUCAAGAUUGACGCUCAUGCACGAAAGCGUGGGGGAGCAAACAGG
rnacentral:rRNA from 1 species